AACGCUAGCUACAGGCUUAACACAUGCAAGUUGAGGGGAAACGACAUCGGAAGCUUGCUUUUGAUGGGCGUCGACCGGCGCACGGGUGAGUAACGCGUAUCCAACCUGCCCAUCACUUGGGGAUAACCUUGCGAAAGUAAGACUAAUACCCAAUGAUAUCUCUAGAAGACAUCUGAAAGGGAUUAAAGAUUUAUCGGUGAUGGAUGGGGAUGCGUCUGAUUAGCUUGUUGGCGGGGUAACGGCCCACCAAGGCAACGAUCAGUAGGGGUUCUGAGAGGAAGGUCCCCCACAUUGGAACUGAGACACGGUCCAAACUCCUACGGGAGGCAGCAGUGAGGAAUAUUGGUCAAUGGGCGAGAGCCUGAACCAGCCAAGUAGCGUGCAGGAUGACGGCCCUAUGGGUUGUAAACUGCUUUUAUAAGGGAAUAAAGUGAGCCUCGUGAGGCUUUUUGCAUGUACCUUAUGAAUAAGGACCGGCUAAUUCCGUGCCAGCAGCCGCGGUAAUACGGAGGAUCCUAGCGUUAUUCGGAUUUAUUGGGUUUAAAGGGAGCGUAGGCGGGGGGUCAAGUCAGCUGUGAAAUACGUACGCUUAACGUUCGUCUUGCAGUUGAAACUGGUUUUCUUGAGUGCGUAUGAGGCAGGCGGAAUUCGUGGUGUAGCGGUGAAAUGCUUAGAUAUCACGAAGAACUCCGAUUG
rnacentral:rRNA from 1 species